AGAAGAGAGGGAGAAGGCAGGGGAAAGUAAGAAGUGAGUGAGUUAGAGAUGCAGAGACAAAACAAGGCGAUAAUGAGAGGAAGAGGGACCAGGAGAUGAGAGAAGCAGAGAAAAAAAAAUAUGGAGAAGAAUAAAGCGGGGUGGUUACAGGAGCAAAUGAGUGAGCGAGUAGGAGAGGAAGAGAGAGAGUGAGAGAGAGGGAGGGAGGCGAACAACACUGCAGACACUCUCCCACUGUCACUGCUCCGCAGCCAGAGGACGGAGGCAGCACCGGCAGCAGUGAGAGCGGAUACGAUGGAGGCGGAACGCCGUACCAUCCGUCUGCAGCUCAGUCCCCAUCACUGACCGCCUUCCUCUCCAGGACACAUCCGGCCAAGUUUGGAGCAAAACGGGCAGCAGAGGGGCAACUACUCUCCCCGUCCUUCACAGGAACACAAGUCUGGGACCCGAAACUCCUGCAGGAGCUCGACUCCCCACUCCUGAAAUCCCACACUCUGAAACACGCCUGGUCUCACGCCGAGGCACGCCACACUUCUCCCUUGUGUUUUCGCUUGUUUUCUGGUCACCGCCGUCUUUGCCGACCUCCCGAGCUGAGUGGAUUUACUUUUCUCCUGUGGCGGACCAUGGGGCUGGGGGGGUGGAGGGGUGCGGGAGGGACCCUCCGGAGAAGGACACAGGAAACCUGGUACCUUUUGGUGACACUGCUGCUGUGGUGCGGUUUCUGGAACGCUCACACGCAGACGGACGAUGGGAAGUCCGUCUACUUCUGGGAAACAGGUCCGUGGGGGAGAUGCAUGGGCAGCGACUGUGGCCCGGGUGGAAGCCAAAGCCGGGCGGUCUGGUGCGCCCACGUGGACGGCUGGACGACGCUUCACACCAACUGUGACCAGGGCCAGCGUCCCUCCAACCAGAGGAACUGUUUCCGUGUGUGCGACUGGCACAAGGACCUUUACGACUGGAAACUGGGUGCCUGGAAUGAGUGUGUGCCAGUAUCUGCAAGGACCUUUGGGGCUCCGAGACAGUUCCCAUGCAACGGGGGUGAAGAGGGCAUUCAGACCCGGGAAGUGGGAUGCAUACUCAACUCCGACGGCUCUCCCGCAGAGGAUGCCAUCUGUGAGUACUUUGAGCCCAAGCCUCGCCUGGAGCAGGCGUGUUUGAUCCCUUGCCCUCAGGAUUGUGUGGUUUCUGAGUAUUCGCCAUGGACAUCGUGCUCCAAAACGUGCGGCACGGGCCUCAGGAACAGAGUCCGCAGCGUCCUGGUCCCUCCGCUUUUUGGAGGCGGCCUCUGUCCCAAUCUCACUGAGUUUCAGUCUUGUAAACUGGGGGCGUGCACGGGUCCCGAGGGCUUGUUCAGCCUCAGGGUCGGGCCGUGGAGUCCCUGCGCUCUGCCACAGACCCGGACAGCUCGGCAGGUCAAACGCAGGAAAGGGAAAGGCCCGGGGAUAAGGGAGCGAGGAGUCAAAGACCCGGAGACCAGGGAGCUAAUCCAGAAGAAACGGACCAGGAACCGGCUCAACCGGCAGGAGAGUCCCUUCUGGGACAUCCAGGUGGGAUUCCAGACCCGGGAGGUGACCUGCAUUCACAGGAAUGGCAGCAGAAUAGGACGCAGCCUGUGCACAUCCAGGGACCUGCCCAUCACCGUCCAGUCCUGCGUCCUUCCUAAAGACUGCCAGGUCACCGACUGGACCGAGUGGACGCCCUGCUCCAAGACGUGCGUGGACCCCGAGUCUCCCAGAGGAAACCGCACCCGGAGACGACAGGUGCUGCAGUUCUCGGUGGGCGAGGGGCUGGAGUGCCCGCCGCUGGAGGAGGCCGAGCCCUGCGACCCUCAGGGCGGCGGCGCGCCGCCGUGUGCCACUUACACGUGGAGAACCACUGAGUGGAGCGACUGCCGGGUCGACACAUUGCUAAGCCAACAAGACCGUCGACGUAGCAACAUGACGGGGCUUUGUGGAGGAGGUCUUCAGACCAGGGAGGUUUAUUGUGUCCAGGCCAAUGCUGAACUCCAGAAAUACCUCAACGACCUCCGGGAAAAAGAGAAAGCAGGUCAGACCCAAAGACAGCAGAAGCCUAGUGUCCCCCCUCUCCUCUCCAUCUCCUUCCAGAUUACAGCCUCCCGCCCGGUGGAGAACAGGCUGUGCGAGGGUCCGAUCCCCAACAGAUCCCAGCUGUGUCAAAUCCCCUGUCCCAUCGACUGCGAGGUGUCACCGUGGGCCGCGUGGGGGCCCUGCACCUUUGAAAACUGUAACGAUCAGACCGGAAAGAAAGGUUUUAAAAUGAGGAAAAGACUGAUUACCAACAAGCCGACAGGCGGCCCGGCCAACUGCCCGCACCUGGUGGAGGCGGUGCCGUGUGACGAGCCCAGUUGUUACGAGUGGCAACUGGUCAGUCUGGAUGAGUGCGUACCUGACGACGAGCAGCAGUGCGGUCCCGGCACUCAGCUGGCACAGGUCCAGUGUGUCAACAGCAAUGGUGAGCCGGUGGACAGAAACCUCUGCUCGUCGUCUUCGGCUCCAGAGCCUGCGUCCUGUGAGGUGCCUUGCUCAAGAGACUGCGUGCUCAGCGACUGGACGUCGUGGUCCACGUGCUCUCAGACGUGCUCCAGCAAGACCAUCGAGGGCAAGCAGAUGAGGACGCGCUCGAUUCUGGCUUAUAACGCCGGCGAAGUCACACAGAUGGUUGUGGCGUGGAUCACGGUGAUGGAGGGUCUGACACGGGUGCCGAAGUUUCCAGAACUUCUCGGUGGCGUCCUGUGCCCGAACAGCAGCGCCCUACAGGAAGUGCGGAACUGUAACGAACACGCCUGUACGGUUUACCACUGGCAGACGGGGCCCUGGGGCCCCUGCACGGAAGAUCCCGCGUCCUUGGCCCUCAACAUCUCUGCAGGAGUCGGCCCCAGCAGCGACGGUCAGGCUCCGUGCUCGACGGGAAUGCAGACUCGCAAGGUCAUCUGUGUCCGGGUCAACGUGGGACAGGUGCCACCCAAGAAGUGUCCAGACGGCCCCCGGCCCAUCACGAUGCGGCCGUGUCAGCUGCCCUGCAAGAAAGACUGCAUCGUAACUCCUUUCAGCGACUGGACCGAGUGUCCGCUCACUUGUGAUGCAGCUGGCAACGGCGUGAAGAAAAAGCAGUCGAGGAAGCGUGUCAUCAUCCAAAUGCCGUCCAAUGGGGGACAGGAGUGUCCAGAGGUGCUUGAGGAGGACAAGGACUGCGAGGUCCCCAAAACCUGUCCAGGUUUCAGGUGGAAAACCCACAAAUGGAGGAAGUGCCAGCUCGUCCCAUGGUAUCUGAGAGAGGGCACUCCUGGAGCACAGGAGACCUGCGGCCCCGGACUACAAACCAGAGCUGUGUCGUGCCGCCAGCUGGACGGGACGCAGGCCGACAUCGGUGAAUGUCUGAAAUUCGCCAAGGCCAUGCCUCCCAUCACUCAGCGCUGUCAGCUCCCCUGCCAGGACGACUGCCAGCUGACCAACUGGUCCAAGUUCUCAUCCUGCACAGCUGACUGCGUGGGGGUCCGGACCAGAAAGAGGGCUUUGAUAGGGAGAAGCAAGAAGAAAGACAAGUGCAAGAACACGCAAAUGUAUCCUCUGAGCGAGACGCAGUACUGCCCCUGUGACAAGUACAACGCCCAGCCCGUGGGGAGGUGGUCGGACUGCAUCCUGCCCGAGGGAGGCCGGGUGGAGAGCGUCAUGGGGAUGAAGGUCCAGGGAGACAUCAAAGAGUGCGGACAGGGCUAUCGCUACCAGGCCAUGGCGUGCUACGACCAGGACACCAGGCUGGUGGAAACGUCCCGCUGCAACAGUCAUGGUUAUAUCGAGGAAGCGUGCAUCAUCCCCUGUCCGUCAGACUGUAAACUCAGCGAAUGGUCCAACUGGUCACGUUGCAGCAAGUCCUGUGGAAGUGGAGUGAAAGUUCGCUCCAAAUGGCUUCGAGAGAAACCUUACAACGGUGGACGGCCAUGUCCAAAGCUGGACCACGUCAACCAGGUGUACGAGGUGGUGCCGUGUCAGAGUGACUGCAGUCAGUACAUAUGGGUGGCUGAGCCCUGGAGCGUCUGGAAGGUCAGCAACGUUGAUCUCAAGGAGAACUGUGGGGAAGGUGUCCAGACCAGAAAAGUCAGGUGCAUGCUCAACACCGUGGACGGCCCGUCGGAGUCAGUGGAGGACUACCUGUGUGACCCGGAGGAGAUGCCCCUGGGGGCCAGAGAGAGCCGGCUGCCCUGCCCCGAGGACUGCGUCCUCAACGACUGGGGUCCCUGGAGCCGCUGCAGCCUGCCCUGCACCAGAAGCAAUAAUCGAAAUCGGACGGCGUACCCGCUUCGAUCCCCCAGCGUCGGUAGAGAGUGUCCAGAAACAACCGACAAGGAGCCCUGCAAUCUCAACCUCAACUGCUUCAACUACUUCUACAACGUCACAGACUGGAGCACCUGUCAGCUGAGUCCCAACGCCGUGUGCGGAAGCGGCAUCAAGACCCGGAUGCUCGACUGCGUUCGCAGUGACGGCAAAUCCGUUGAUAUGAAGUUCUGCGAGGAGCUGAAUUUGGAGAGGAAGUGGCAGAUGAACAUCUCCUGCGUGGUUGAGUGUCCUGUCAACUGUCAGCUGUCCGAGUGGUCGGCCUGGUCGGACUGUACCCAGACCUGCGGGUUGGAGGGUAAGAUGGGGCGGCAGCGAUCGGUGGUCCAGGCCUCGCAGGGCGACGGGCGACCGUGUCCUUCUCAGAUGGAGCAGUGGAAGCCCUGCCCCGUCCGGCCCUGUUACCGCUGGCAGUACAGCUCCUGGUCUGAGUGCCGGGUGGAGAGUGUGGUGUGUGGACACGGCACACGCUACAGGAACCUGUCCUGCUUCGUGUCGGACGGCUCCGGUGAGGGCGAGGUCAGCGCGGUAGACGAGGAGCUGUGCAGCAGCCUGGAGGUGGUCGUCGGUGAUGACAAGCUGAUCAGGCUGAAAGAGGACUGCAUCCUUCCGUGUCCAGGUGAAUGUUACCUGAUGGAGUGGUCCGACUGGAGCCCGUGUGUCAGCAUCUGUGUCAAAGGGGCCGGCGUGGACUUCGGCUCUGUCCAGGUCCGAUCCCGAGCCGUGCUGGCCCAGGAGCCCGAAAACCUGCUGCUCUGUCCGGACCAAGUGUGGGAGUCUCAGGCGUGCACCGGAGGUGAAUGUUAUGAGUACAAGUGGUUCAACAACGGCGUGCAGAACUCCACCCGGCCCGUUACCUGGUGUCAGCGCUCAGAUGGACUCAACGUCACCGGUGGAUGUCCCGCUGCGACUCCUCCAGUGGACAGCAGCUCCUGUGAACCUCCCUGUCUCAUGCCAAAAUCAUUCUGCAGCGAGGCCAGUGUCUGCAUGUGCACGCCAGGCUUCACAGAAGUGCUGUCCACCACUGGGCAGCUGGACCAGUGCGCCCCCAUCCCCAUCCUGGAGAUCCCCACCGCAGGGGACAAGAAGGGCGACGUGAAGACCAGCCGUGCCAUUAACCCCACGCUGCCCUCCACCACACAGCCUGGACGCACCGGGCGGACCUGGUACCUGCAGCCCUACGGACCAGAUGGGAAGCUGAAGAUGUGGGUGUAUGGUGUAGCAGCCGGAGCCUUUGUGCUCCUCAUAUUCAUAGUGUCUAUGAUAUACCUAGCUUGCAGCUACUGUGCCAAGGUGCAUCGCUCUCUUAAGGCCCACGAGUCCAACGCCAAUGGGACGGCGGACUGGGUAGGCCAAAAUGCACAUGAGAUGAUUUACACCUGUCCCGAUUGUCAAGAGCUGGGUCAAACCGGCAGCAACCACUGCAGCAGCAGCUAAUGAGGAUGUGGAGGGUUUAUGAGCGCCUGCAGUCCCAGAACUUGUCCGGUGACCUCUCUGUCAAAGUGUCACAUUUCCUGCCUGACUAUCUGAGUGAAGAUGCAGCAAAAAGCCAAAGAGACCUCAAAGGCAGAGGCAGCAGAACAACCGACUAAAACCUCUGACGCUCGCCUACGACGGGGACACGGACAUGUAGUUCCCAGAGAUCCACCUGGCCGAGCAUCUUCACCUGUCAGAGAGCCACUUCUUCAUCACGCCAUCACAGCCGGGACGUGGAUGUGUGCGGCGUGAACCGACACGUCACAGCAAAGAAAUGACAGGAAAUCCUCUUAGCAGAGACUCUGUUCGGGCUUAACCAUUUCAAGUGGAGCUCUGUUCACUCCUCUUUUGUUUCUUUGAGUAUUUUCUUUUGCCAGAGCCUUCAUAACCGCCAGCAUGUUCAAUAAUGCCUUUUAUUCAUUAAAAAAAAAAAAAAGAUGUUUUUAAUUUACCCCCGACGCGUCCCAUAUUUACUGACUUGUUUGAGAUGCAGGAAAGGUUGGGUGAAGGAGACGGACCCGGCCCUCCCUGCCGUCUGUGAACAUGGCAGCACAAGCUCCGACUCCCCCCACAUCCCUCCCACCCCACACUUUCUGCUUGUCCCUGAAAAUGCUGAGUAGCUGGAGGCUUAGGAUGCUCUGACGGUUCGUACGUUGCCAAAAGUCACCGAAGGGAAGAGGGGGAGGAGGGAGAGGAAAAUCUCCAUCAAAAGGUUUGGAUCCUUUUUUUUUUCCCCUCAAUCCUCAACUGGGUUUUGACUCAAAUCUCUUUUCCAGUCUUGAACAAAAGGGAGGCAUCUCUUCUUCUUUUCUGCUUGAUUCAGAGGCACACAGGCCUGUGUUUGAGGGAUAAACUGAUCUGUGUGAUGCUGAUGGAGGAGAAGCCUGGAACCUGCUGCCUGCCUGUCUGCCUCCGCCCUUGCUUUGUUUCAGGCGCUACAUUGCACUAUAUUAGUGCAGCAUGAUAUGCACAUGUGACUUCUACCUUUUAUUGCCAUAAAAACACUGCCUCUUCCACAAAACACAACCGUAGAGCAGAGCAAUCCCGGAGGAAACGACUUCGAUGCAACACGUCCUACAGGGCCGGAUGUGACUCUCCAGUAAAUAAAUGUAUAGAUUUUAUUUCUGACGGCAGAGUUUUUGGUUGUAGUAAAAAGUACAUUUUCGUGGUUUGUAGAUUUCAUUUCAUUCGGUGUCAUUAACUCAUUUUCACUCAGAUGCGACUACAAGGGGUGGUUUCCUUCAAUCGCCUCCUCUGCAACGUACAUCUGAAGUCAGGUUUUAUUUAUUUACCUCCAGUCAAAAACGCAUCCUGGAGCCAUUCAAGGUUUUGCACCAACAACUGAAGAACAGAGAAAUGGAAGCCAUUCACAUCAUGCAAUUGUAAUUUCUGCCUUACUGACAACUAAAUACUAACAGUUCUGUCUGUAAUACUUGAACGGGCAAACAUUAAACACAGACCAACUAAAUCCUCUUUUCAAUAUACGGAAAUGUAAUCGGUUUAUACGACUUCCACAUGUAGUCAUCAUAUAGGUGCUCCAUUGAUUCCAGUCACUACAUGACGACGUUAUAUAGUUCAAAAAAGAAGAAGAAAACUGUACAAACUAACUAUCUAAUAUAAGAGAACAUGCUUCUGCUGAGUUCAGUGUAAAAGCAAACUGGUGUGGAGAAUGUUUACUUUUUUUUCCGUGGAAAUUGUAAAUAACUUUUUUAUUUUUUGGAGAAAAAAAAAAGUAUGUGUACAUUUAUUUUGUAUUGCACAGGAGAUGUUAGUGUGGAUAUUGCAAAGUGGGUGUAUGAUAUCGCUGAUUGUUGUUGAUGCAAGUUGUAUGUUGUAACUAAAAAGGGGGAGGGAGGGGGCAGAAAAGAUGAUUUGGCCAUUUUGUACAGGUUGUUUAUAUGUAU